CGGGCCGAGCCGGGGGUGCGGGACGGCCGCGGCAGCGCUCACACCGCCCUCACAGGCUCUUCGCUCCGCGCCUCUGCUCCGCUCACCCUGCGAGUCCCAGCUGCCCCUCCCGCACCGUGCCCCCCUCCACCUUUGCCGCCCGCCGGCUCUGAGGGCUUGAACCACCUCCCGAAGGAGGCGGGGAGCGUCCCUGGUCUGAGGAGCGGAGCGCCCGACCCGGAGCGGGAGUUCGAUAGGAAAGACGCGAGCUCUAGAGGAGCAGAGGAAACCUGUAUCCCCACCCAGCUUUCUGGGUUAUAGAAAGGCUGUUCUAUAGUCCUGAAGCAAAGAAGAAGCUGUACACCAAAAGCUGGAAAAGUGGCUUACAUUUUAAGAGGAAUUCUCCAAACCAGAAGAUCCCACCUGUGGUAACACAUACAGCUCAUGGAGUACAAAUUAUGUGCAGUGGGCGUUCAUGUGGAAAAUCUGUAUGGCUAAAGCAUCCUGGCAAACCACAGUUCCUGCUGGGUGAGUUAAGAGUCUGUCUUGAAGGAAUGAGGGAUUCAAAACUCCCCAUGCAGGAUGUGUACCUGCAGCUGUGCACAUCCUGUGAGACCUGAUGGCUGCCAGCUCCCCUGCCCAGGCAGGGACACUGAAAACCUACUGAAGAGUUUACAAGGACAGAAGAUAAUCCAGUGCUGACUUCUGCUUUCACAGAAGAAAGGAAAGAAAAUCUAGGUUUACAUUACAAAAGGGACAGUGAGGAUUUCCCUGUUUGCUCUCCAGAGUUUUCUUAACCCUGGUAUUUUCAAUCAAUGAGUUGAACAGAAACAGGAUAGCUGUGGAUCACAAAUGAGGAACCAGAUACAUAUGGAAUUGAUGAGGUGAUUAAUAUCACUUUCUUGUACAUGUCGAAGAAAAUCUGUUGUGUCCUGCACAGAAGUGUCUGUUUUGAUGGGAACCAUCACCACCCAUCCCACAGCUUCUUUACAUGGUUCAGCAGGAAAAAAAUUGCAGUUUCUAUCUAUGAUAGUCAUUAGAAAUCACAUUUAACAAGGGACAAAGGGCCCUAGGUGAAGCUGUGAAUGCCCAGAGCCAUCCCAGCCUUGCUAGCAGGAUGUGCUUUCACACAUGCACUUGGCAGCAGCCAGUGGAAGCAGUCCCAUGACUCCCACCCCUCUCCCAGCCCUGUGCUGUCCUUGACCAUGCUUAGAAGGAUCAUUUCUGUGACUGUGCAAUGAGCUGGCUCAGUGGACAGGUCUUAGCUAAAGAUCAUUCAGGAAAAAAAAAAUAGAAAAAAGUUAUUUUUCAGCCUGCCUGUCCAGGUGGCAGAAGCAGGUUCUUGGCAGUGCAUCCAGGGAUGCUCACAUCCCCAGCUGCUUGCAACAGCUCCUGUGAAACCACAGCCUCACUGCAAAACUCCUCUUCUGAGGAACAGGAAAGAGUGAGGGGCUAUUAGCUCACUUUAUCCACCCUGGUUUUUUCCUGAUAUGGAAGAGCACCAAGCUGAUUCAGGGGAGCUGGAAAGGGGAUCGUGUGAUAAUGGAAAUGAUGGUAGUGCCAGCCCCAAGCAUUCAGAAAUCCUGAGCUGGGCUGGCAGAACUCAUAAGGUCUUUAAAAAUAAGAAAGGUAGUAUUUCUUUUAAUUCUUGCUGCAUUCUAACCUUUAGGGCACAUGAGAUACUGAAUGCACAUCUUCUUAGACUUUUCAGAGGGACUAGAUUGAUACAACCACAAACCAAGAUUUACAUGCUGCUCAGAAAAUACAACCAGCUUUGUUCUUGGUGGCUCUUUAUCUACCCAGCAUAUCUGACACUUAUGUAUCAGAAAACUGAAUCUUACCCUGAUAACUUAAUCAAAACUCACCAGGCUGCUGUGGUGGGCAUGUGCUGCCUGGGGCUGGCCAUGAUUCCUUGCUGCCAGUUCCAGAUGAGCAGUGAUAUCCCUGAGCUGCAGGCACCUGCAGGCACCCAGUGCUGGUGGGUGAGCUCCUGGGCCACUGACCUGCUGGUGUGCCUCACACCCCAUUUUGGGUCACCUCCUGCUCCAGAGCCUGCCCAGUAAGUUGUCAUCAGGAAAUACUUUUCCCUUGCACUCUGCUGACUUGAUUUGACAAAUCCUCUGAAGAUCAAAACCUCCCAUGAACCAGUAGGAGUUUUAGAUUAUGUACAUCUUCUCUUGGGUUUAUGGGUGAUCAGAGAAUGCCCAUAUGCAUUAUUUAUUAUGCAGUUGAGGUGUUUUGACAGAGUUGGAAAAUUGACUAUCAGGAGACUGUUCCAGCUCAGCAUGGAUGGUCUGUGAGAAAUCACAAGAAUUAUUACACUGGGUGAAAAUCUGCAGCUCAGCACAUACAGACCUGCCAAUACAGACACACAGAUCUAUAUCUUACAUUGAGAUAUGCAGUUUUUACUACCAUCAUUUAAGUGUCAACUUUCUUCUCCCCUCCCCUCCAGCGUGUCCUGACACUGCUUGGCCCCAUGCAGGCCUGUCCAGAAGCCUGCUAAAAGAAAACAAACACUGAUUUCAGGUGGAUGAAUACAUGAUUCCCAGCCAAAACCACUUUGCCUUGCACAGUACUUCUGUUUUGCAUUGUGAGUCAUUAUAUGUACCUGUGAACAAUGGGCUAAGCAGUCACAGCCUGUUUCAUGCAGGAUCUGGCCACAUGAGUGCAGAGGGAAUUGCUGGGUUCCCAUGCUGGGAGGGCACUGGGGCAGACACCUCAGCCCCAAAGGUGUAAAUGUCUGUACCAGAUGGGAGGUGAAGGAGUUUGUUGUGCUGGGUCUUUUCAAAGGGGAGAAGCAAAGGUAUCAGACACUAGAAGGACUUUUGAGCUACAUUCUAUUUGUAUUUGUUUGGCACAAAGAGAAGCACAAUUCUGGCCAGUCUCCACAAGUGAAACUAUUAAUAAUGUCUAACACCAAUCAUGCAGUGGAGCCGAUCCAUUGCUGUCACCAGAUGCAGUGCAAGGCUGGCACUGCCAGUUCUGGGUGGCUGGGGAAGGUACAAUGCAGGCUGCAGCAACCUGGCUUCCUUUCCUCUCCAAAAAGUUGCCAGAGAUCUGUGGAAUCAGGACUCUUUCUGUCCUAUGAUGCUGUGAUGGACAUACUGUUUUCUGGAAGCUAGAAGUAUAGCCAGAUUCACUCACCUUGACUUUACCGGUUUGCCCCCAACAAAACUGUCUCAGGCCCCUGAAACCCCCUGGUGCUCAGCAGCUCUGACCUUUGGCUGGGCACUGCCACAGCAACAGCUCCUUCCACACAAACCCCCAGCAGGAGGGACCCCCAGAAGGCUCCUCUGCCCCACGGGGCGCUGCUGCUGCUUUGCCAUGUCAGGAUCUCGAGCUUGUCAGAGUGAUCCCGAGAAGAGUUUGAGAGUCUCCUUUCCCAGCCCGGCGCUUGAAGAAGGAGUCAGAGCUCUUCAUUUCU